rnacentral:misc_RNA from 1 species
AAGUCGUAACAAGGUUUCCGUAGGUGAACCUGCGGAAGGAUCAUUAUCGAGUUUAAAUUCACACUUGCUGUGCAUUCACUUGCACGUAGGUUUGAAUCUUCAAACUUUACACCCCUGUGCACCUUCGGGCUUGCCACAUCACGCAAUCUGGGUUGCAGUGGCAUGUCUCGUUUUUUUACACCUUUUUGUAUGUUUCUGAUUAAAACUUUUGAUUGCCCUGUGAUGGGGUGGUCGAAUCAAACAAAAUACAACUUUCAGCAACGGAUCUCUUGGCUCUC